UGGGUUAUAGCCAAGCGGUAAGGCAACGGACUUUGACUCCGUUAUGCGAUGGUUCGAAUCCAUCUAACCCAACUA
rnacentral:tRNA from 1 species